rnacentral:rRNA from 1 species
AGUGAACGCUGGCGGUAGGCCUAACACAUGCAAGUCGAACGGCAGCACAGUAAGAGCUUGCUCUUACGGGUGGCGAGUGGCGGACGGGUGAGGAAUACAUCGGAAUCUACUUUUUCGUGGGGGAUAACGUAGGGAAACUUACGCUAAUACCGCAUACGACCUACGGGUGAAAGCAGGGGAUCUUCGGACCUUGCGCGAUUGAAUGAGCCGAUGUCGGAUUAGCUAGUUGGCGGGGUAAAGGCCCACCAAGGCGACGAUCCGUAGCUGGUCUGAGAGGAUGAUCCGCCACACUGGAACUGAGACACGGUCCAGACUCCUACGGGAGGCAGCAGUGGGGAAUAUUGGACAAUGGGCGCAAGCCUGAUCCAGCCAUACUGCGUGGGUGAAGAAGGCCUUCGGGUUGUAAAGCCCUUUUGUUGGGAAAGAAAAGCAGCAGGUUAAUACCCCGCUGUUCUGACGGUACCCAAAGAAUAAGCACCGGCUAACUUCGUG